AACUUUCGACAACGGAUCACUUGGCUCUCGCAUCGAUGAAGAACGCAGCGAAAUGCGAUACGUAAUGUGAAUUGCAGAAUUCAGUGACUCAUCGAAUCUUUGAACGCACCUUGCGCCCCUUGGUAUUCCGAGGGGCACACCCGUUUGAGUGUCGUGAAUACUCCCAACCUUCUUGGUUUCUUUGACCACGAAGGCUUGGACUUUGGAGGUUUUUCUUGCUGGCCUCUUUAGAAGCCAGCUCCUCCUAAAUGAAUGGGUGGGGUCCGCUUUGCUGAUCCUCGACGUGAUAAGCAUUUCUUCUACGUCUCAGUGUCAGCUCGGAACCCGCUUUCCAACCGUCUUUGGACAAAGACAAUGUUCGAGUUGCGACUCGACCUUACAAACCUUGACCUCAAAUCGGGUGAGACUACCCGCUGAACUUAAGCAUAUCAAUAAGCGGAGGCU
rnacentral:misc_RNA from 1 species